UACAGAGGGUGCAAGCGUUAAUCGGCAUUACUGGGCGUAAAGCGUGCGUAGACGGUUAUGUAAGUCAGAUGUGAAAGCCCCGGGCUUAACCUGGGAAUUGCAUUUGAGACUGCAUAGCUAGGAUGCGGAAGAGGGAAGCGGAAUUUCCGGUGUAGCGGUGAAAUGCGUAGAUAUCGGAAGGAACAUCAGUGGCGAAAGCGGCUUCCUGGUCCAGCAUCGACGUUCAGGCACGAAAGCGUGGGGAGCAAACAGG
rnacentral:rRNA from 1 species